UCAUUAUAGACAGUUUCUUAUGAUUGAUUUUUCUCUGAUCAGUUCAUUCAGGUUUGUGACGAUGUAUUUUCACUGUUAUGGGAUCCGCAAAGUUCACAAGACAGAAUUCAGGUAAGGACAAACCUUCAUAAAUCCAACUCUUCUUUUUUUCUCUUACACAUCCAAAUGUUCUUUUCUCUAGAUUCCUUUUCUUUUUCUUUUUUUUUCUUGAAUUGUUUGUUGGGUCUAAUACAAAGAAUAUAGUUUUGCAUAACAUGGAGUAACAUCCACACACACACACACACUCCCCACCUCCCAUACCAACCCACAACAGCCCCAUUAGGCUUAAUAAUAUAUACCCUUUUUUCAACCAAUCAUUGAAAAUAUGCAAAACCAUUCAAGGAAAGAAAAAAAAAAUAGGAAGCCAAAACAUUGACAAGGAGUUUAUGUUCAUUGAACAAACUAUGUUUUCUUUUUUCUUUUUGGGAGGGUGCAAGAAAGUGAGAAUACUCGUCCUUGCGUCAAAUAUAGACCAAACAAAGGGCCACAUCUCUAAUCAAUAAUCUCUUUUUCUUCUCUAAAUUUGUAUGUAUAAUAAAUAAUUGGCUUUUUAUGUUUCUUAUUAGUGUUAAUAUCCCAUUACUAUUUUAGAAUAUAGAGAGAAUGGCUUUACCUAGACGAAAUGCAAGUGCUCUUCUUGGCUGUUCCAUUGAAAAUACGACCUUCAACUUUUUGGCCCUUUUCCAUAGCUUGAAUUGACACCAUCUUUGUUUUAUAAGAAGUUUUUGGUGGGGGGAUUUCAUGAUGUUUCAAUUUUUUAUAGCUUCAAUUGCUUUCAAUUUUAUAUUUAAUAGAUUUAGAGUUAUUUUGAAAUAUAGUAAAAAAUUUACAAAAUAUUAACAAUUAUCGAUGUCUAUUUGUGAUAGAUUGUGAUUGACCGCAAUAGACUAUUAUAUGUGUCCAUCUCUAUCACAUGAUAGACACUAAUAAUUUUGUAUAUUAGUCUAUCGUGAUCUAUUACAAAUAAAUUAUGAUAUUUUUAAAAAUUUUUAAAAAUUUUGUCAUUUAAAAUAAAUUUUCAUAAAUUUAUGGAUUAAAAAAAUGAAAGCUCAUGUAGUAAGAUUGUAAUUUUAAAAGUUUGACACAAACUUCCAAAUUCUUGGACGAAAUUUAUAAUUUAACUUACUUUUUUUUAAUUGUGGUUUGGGUUCUUUAAAGUACAAAUGGAAUGUGAGAAUUUGAACUUUGGACUUCAACGAAACAAUUCGAUUAUUGUUAGGUUCACUCUUUGCUUUUCUUUAUCAUUUGUCGUUAUUAAUUAAUAAUAUUAACAAAUGUUGGAAUUAAAGUAGAGUUUAGCAAUUGGAUUAUAUCACUAACCUGUGGUUGCAUAACCAUUAGCAGCUGUAAUGGAAAAGGUCGAAAUGACGAAAUUGAAACAAACAAAAAAAAAACAUCUAAUUUAAAAGAACAGUUCACAUGAUAUUGUCACCAUUAUUUAUUAUAGUAAUAACCUAUAAUUUAGAUUUAAUAAUCAUUGGAUUAGUCUUAAUAAUAAUAAUAAUAAUAACCUAAUCUUCGACAACGAAAUAUUUUUAAAAUACAAACACAUUUUCAUCGGUCAAAGUUUGUUUUGGUUUUUCUUGUCCUCUUUAGGGCCAAUUAUGCAAUUUCCUUAUUAGUGUAUUCUCUCUUUUAUGUAUACGUGUAUACAUACACACACAUAAUUGUUUUUGUAUUAUUAUUAUUAGGGAUGUUUUAAAAAAUAUGUUCAAAGAAAUCAAAAUAUUUAUAAAUAUAACAUAAUUUUACUGUUAGCUACAACUGAUGACAUAUAUUACAGUCUAUAGAUGUUUAUCUAUGUUGUGAUUAGAUAUAAAUGGUGGUUUAUUGUUGUCUAUCGAAGUAUACAAAUGUCUAUUGAUAUUGUGAUAAACACACGUAGUAGUUUGCAAUAGAUAGUAAAAUUUUAUUAUAUUUGUUAAUAUUUUCAACAGUUUUGUCAUCUAAGACAAUUUUUUUUUUGGAGUUCAAUGUAAAGACCAACAAAAUGGUAAAAUUUUCAAAAUAAAAUAAUUGUUGUUGCCAUGGGGAUAUCCUUUGUUUUGUGAGUCAACCUUCCCUUCUAGUUAAUUCAAAAGGUUCAUAAAGAAUUUUAACAACUUUCCUUUUCUUUGAAUAUUGUCUCAUUUAAUGUAUUUAAUUGUUUUUUCCUUAAAAAAGAGUAAACAACAUCCUAUUAUCUAUUUUGACCUUUAAAAACGUUCACAUUUCAUAAAAGAAAGAAUGAAUUUUCAUGUGUAUUUUCAAUAAACAUAUAUUUUUAAAUAGAGUAAAAUGAAUUGAUAUAUUUACGAAAUAUAGUAAAGUUUUUUAUCUAUAUUGAUGGUGGUGAUAAAAUGUUAACAAAAUUAAAAAUUUUACCGUAUUUUAUAAAUAUUUUUCUAACAACUUUACAAUUUACAAUUCUACUAUGAUAAAACUAUCAACUAUCAAGUCCCUUUUUCACACCUUUUUUUAUGGAUAAAAUAUAUGUUCUUUAAUUAUGUUUAUUUUAAUUUUUGUAAAUACUAUAUCUUGAGUAUUAUUUGGUGAUAAAAAGUUUCAAGGUAAAAUAUUAAUAACAUAACGUCUCAUGAUAUAUUGUUAAGACAUCUUUUGAUUUCUUAGACCUACAAAUUUUUUUCUACCUUUGGAUGUAUUUUUGGACUAACACUACAAUUUUCAAUAACGCCAAAAUCUAUAUUGAAAAAGAAAAAAGUCUAUAAAUAAUAUAUUUUUCAUACUCUUAUAAUAUAUCAAUGAUAGAUCAAUAUUUGUAAUAUGAUUUAUCAAUUAUCACUCCAACAAACGGACAUAUUUGUAAAUGUUAUUUGUAAUUUUAUCAUAUAUAUAUACAUAUAUAUAUAUAAUGAAUUUGGUUUGAAAUAUUCAAAAGGCAAUAGAGACUUUGUCAAAAACUACCUUAGGUUGGUUUCGCCGGAAAUAUUACAUUAUUCUUAAAAUAUCAACCAAUUUCGCUUUUUUUUUUAAUUAAUACAAUACUCUCUCUUUUUUAUUUUCUACAAGUGAUCUAUCAUUGGAUGAAGGACGUAAUAAGCUAUGAUAAUUAAAUAAAUAAAAUGCCGACUUUGGAAUGCAAUCUUUUAUUAUCAUUAUUAUUAUUUUUCUCUUUUUCUAAAUUGAAUGCUAUUAUUGCUAACAUUUAACCUAUUGAUAUCGAGGAUAAAUCAUUUGACCAAUUUUUAUAUUUAAAAUUAUAGAUCUCAAAAAUUAACUAUCUAAGCAUUUUUUUCAAUGCAACAAUUGUAAGUUGAAAUCGAACAUUUUAUUUUUGGAUCUGAACUCGACUACAAUUACGUAAAUAUAUUGAAACUUUAUUGAAUUUUUGUGUUUGAGGUUAAACAAUGUGAAUGCAUUUAUUUAUAGUUUGAAACUAUAUGUUAAAUUUAACCCACACAAAUCUUUAUUACUAAUAAAAUGUGAAUUAGUUACAAUCAAAUGUGUGAAAAUAGUUUAUCUCUUCAUUCACAAACAAUUUAUGAAACAAUAAUUUGUAAUUCUUAUUUAAUUUAUUCUUAUAAAAAAAAAUUGAGAGACGUUUAUUUUUCUAGGUAUAUUUCUCAUAAUAAAUUAGUUGUUUGAUUUUUAGGUACGCCAAAUAAACCAUAAACAAGUUAACAACAUAAUUGGCAUAUUGGAUAUCACUUUAGAAUUCAUUUUUAAAAUAUCUCAAUUUUUUUUUAUUUUGAAAAACUAAAAUUAAUUGUAUACUUUGGGGUUUUUAAUAAUUAAAUAAUGAUUUCUCUUAAUAGUUUACAUUACAAGAAUUGGAAUAAAAUCAGAGAAUAAGAUUCCUUCUUCUUUUAUUGGCAUUUCACAUAAUUCUCUUAAAAUAAAUAAAUAGAUAGAGAGAAAGAGAAAGCAAAAGCAACGAAUCAUUUUCAUUCCUAAACUUGUAGAGAACUCAUUCUUUAUAAUUUUUUUAAAUUAUAUAUAAAUACUGUUGUGAUUUUUUCUUUUAUAUUAGUUAUUUUGUUAGUUAACAGAAUCAAUCAUAAUCCACUUUCUUCUUCUUCUUUUUUUCAAUAUUUCCAUUUCUAAAAUUAAUUUUAUGAAACUUACUUUGGAUUUUGUAUUUUAAUUUCCAUAAAUAAAUAAAUUUGUCUUGAUAUUAUAAUUUUUUGUUUAAUUGAGCAUAAAUUUAGCAAAGAAGAAAAAAAAAAAACUAAGUUGGAGCUCCAAACUUUUCCACCUCUUUUUCUUAAAAAAAACAAAAAAAAAAACUAUUUUUUCACCUCUUUUAGAUAAUGAGUAUUAUUACAUGAAAUUGUAACAAAACCACAUACAUACAUAUAUAUAAAAGAAUUGUGAGUGUUUGUAGUCAAAAUUUUUGCAAAAGUAAAAUCAAGGUUACAUCUAUUUACGAUUGGAAGAAAAUUUACAUGUACCCACAACCUUAAAAAAAGUAUUCGAUGAGGUUUCACAUAAUGUGACUGUUAGAUUCAUUGUUCGAUUACGAGAAAAAAGUAUAUUAAAUUUAUAACAAGUGAUAAAUAGAGAACAAGUAAAUUUGUGAACCAUGUCUAAUGCAAUAUGUGGUUACGUCAAGUUUAAUUAAUUAAUGCAAAAAUUAAGCUAUCAACAACUUUUCCAAAAUUUAUAAAUCUAAAAAUCUUUAAAAUUCUUUGUAGCAUACAUAUUUCUUAUUAUACAAUAAAUGUCUAUAAGCAUAAGUUUAAGACCAAAAAAUUUUUGGUCUUAUAUCUAGAUUUUUUGUUGUGAGAAUGAUUCUAUUUAAUUUUUUAGAGAAAAAAAAUAAAAUUUUAUAUAACAAAUGAGUUUAAAAUAGUUCAAACAUAAAAUCAUAUAAUAUAUUAUUAUUCAUACAUAAACGAACAGCCGAAUGUGUAGAAACUACUUCUUACCCUCUUUCAAAGGUCGAGUAGUUACACUAAGCCCUAAUCUUACAUAAAAGUAGACCUUUUUACUCAUAAAUGAACUAGAUUAGUUGAUAGUUUAAUCCAAAGUGUGGUACUACUAAAAUCUUUGAAAUCGAGAUAACAAAAAAUAAAGUAGAUAGAAAGAUUUAAAACGAGUUGAAUAUAUUUACAAAAUAUAGAAAAAUGAUAGACUUGUCCGAUAAUAGAUUGAAACUUUCAUAUAUAUAUAUAUAUACCAAAAUGAUAAUUUUAUUAAUAUUAAGAAUAAGAAUGAAAAUAUAUAAAUAAUAAUGGAAGAGUGGAGCCCAAAGGGAAAAAGGGGUCCAAUGGAAAAACCUUUUUAACACUUUAUUUUCCAAUCUAUAAAUAUCCAUUUUCAUCCUUUUUGUUCAAUUCUUUCUUUCUUCAUCUUUUUCUUCUUCUUCUUCUUCUUCAUCAUCUUCUUCUUCUUCUCUUUCACUUUCCAAAAUCCUUUUUCCCCCAAAUAUUCUCUACGUAAUCUUCAAUUUCAUCCAUAAUUUCUUCGAUCUCCGAUUCCUAAUUCCUUCUCCGAUUCUCUCUGAUUUCCCUAUUUCCAUUCCAUUUCUCCCGAUUCAACCUCUCUCUCUCUCUCUCCCUUCAAUUUCAAUUCACUUUCUCCACUUGAUUUGAUUUUAUUUAUGGUUGUGAAACUGGUCCGAUGGCCGUCCUGGCCGCCGUUCUCGUCGAGAAAAUACGAGACGAUCAUCAAUAUUCGCCGAUUGGAAGGAUUGGCGAAUGUGUCGAUGAUGAAGGAUAGUGGUUGUUUAGUGAUGGAAAUCAAAUGGAAAGGGCAAAAAAUUAUGGGAUUGAGUUCUUGGAGACGCUCUGUGAAGAGGAAUUAUACGGAAAAGGGGAAUGUCUGUGAAGAAGAAGAAGGAAAGGGAUUGUGUGUGGAUUGGAAUGAAGAGUUUAUGAGUUUGUGUUCGUUUUUGGGUUCUAAAGAGGACGUUCUCAAUAUUCCUCCAUGGAAGGUUUUGUUGAAACUUCUCCACAAAGUAAGUCAUCCUUCUUCCUUCUUCCUUCUUCCUUUUUCCUUCUUCCUUCCUUUGCUCUGAAUUUAUUGCAGUCCUUUGAAUUGAAUUGUGAAUUAAUGGCGAUUGAUUUUGCUUUCUUUUUCCCUCAAGUCUUUUGCUUGGUUUUUUCCACCCGUUUCCCUUUCUCAGUUCCCAUGGAGGGUUUGACUUUUUGUGAUGAAGACAUAACGAUUUAUUUGUUUUCUCUCUCUCUCUCUUCUCUAAUUCUCAAGUCCUUUUUCUUCUAAAUUAUAAAAAACACACACACAUUAAUGUUUGCAUGGUGGGGUGUGCUAUUACAGUCAAAAGUUAAGCGAAAUCGAUUUUUCGAUCAAACCGACACCGAAAACAAAUCCUACUUAAGUUUAUUUGGUUUUCAUCUACAGUUAGAUUAAGCAUACUUAUGAACACUAUGCAGCACACACCCAAGCAGAUGGGCAUUUGUGUUUGGCUAAGGAGAUCAUGUGCCACCAACUUAGAUAAUUCCUUCACAACUUUCUUCCCCAUCUUUCUACACCAAUUGUAGUUUCAUCUUUUAAAGCAUAUUUUCGAAACCCAAAACAACAAAAUCCAAACAUACUUUUUAUAAUUGAAAAAGAAAAAUUACACUUUUCAUUGUCUUUGAGAUUUGAAAUUUUAUUUAGGUCUUAAGCUCUAACCAUCUACAUCCCAACACUGUAUAUCGAUCCUCAAUUUUGGGAAGUCCCUCGUAAUAAUAAAUCGAUAUCAUAGACUAAAUUGCUAAAUUUUAAAAUCUAAGUUCGUAAUUCUCAUCUUUAUAUUUUAGAACUCUUCUUUUUCUAUUUUUUUUUUACUUUUUGCUUUUGGGUUGGGGCUGGUGGAUGACGUAUAGUUGAAUAAUGAGGAUGUUGAUAUUUCAAUUUUUCUUUCCUGUGUUUGACUUUUUCUAUAGUUGAAAACAAAAACAAAAUAAUAAACAUUAUUUUAGUAAUAUCCUCUUUCAUGAUUUGCAGUUGUCACUUUAUGAAUUAAAUAUCAACAAUUCAUGUCAUAUAUUAUGAAUAUUGUAUUGCUACCAAAUACCCUAAGCUUUCAUAAAUUGUUAUUAAUUCAAUCCCAUUCAAAGAAAGAAAAGAUUAAAAAAAAAAAAAAAAGGAUAUUGCUUGGCCUUCCCUAUGUUAAUAAUUUUCUAAUCAAAAUCGGCAGAAAGUGGAGGAAAGAGUUGGUUGAAGAAUAAAUUCAUAUAAUAAUUGGAGGAUAUAAUAAAGUUCAAUGUUAGGGAUGUGGCAAACAAUCAAGUGUCAUGCUGACUAGGAUUUUGAUAAAUAUAUAUAAAAAACUCAAAUAUGUGAUGCACAAAACAUACUUAUCGUGAAAUGAAAUAGGAUUUAAUUAAUUCAAACUAAAAUUGAACAAAUUUUAAAAAAAAAUCGUUCUUUUAAACGAUUACUUUCACUUACUUUUCUUGCUUUGGUGUUAUCACUACUCCCUCAUUGCAGGGAGAAAACCAAGUACUUCGAAACAGCUACACCGUGAUCGGAACGGCAUCACUGAACCUAGCGGAAUAUGUUUCCAAAGCUGAUGGAAAAGAGAUUCAAAUAAGCCUUCCUUUGAAGGUUCGUGGUAGCACUCCGGAGUUGAGUGCUCCAUUGCUUCUUGUAAGUACCUUGUCAAAUUAGUUCCUUAUCGACUUUCUUAUUCUCUAUGAUGUAAUUCUUUGUUCUACUACGACACAGUUAUCACUCAACCUCUUGGAGGUGAGAACUGAUACAAAAGCGUUGGGAAUGGUGCAAAGGUCGAUCAUGCCGGUUACACUCUCACCAACGUCACCGUUGGGUUUGUCUACAGAGAAAGAUGGGUUAGCUGUAAUAAGAGCGGGUCUAGAUAGAGUGAAAAUAUUUAGACAUUGUGUAUCAGCUGGAAGAUCUAAAGAAGAAGUAUUCCAUGAAGAAGAUAUUGCUACUGUUAAUGGGUUUUAUAUUAAAGAUAAGGAUUCUACUCAAAGCUCUUCACUUGAUUCGGAUUCGCUAGAUGAUAGUGGGAAUGAGGGUUCAUGUGUUUGGCAGCCAUUUGGUUAUGAGAAACUAGCCCAUGCUAACCGAUUGCUUCUCCCUGGGACGAAGAACGACAAAGGAGAUGAUGAAUGUUGGAUCUAUUGUGGUAAUGGUGCAGGGUGUUUGGAGAUUGAUAGUGACUGUUCACAGACUAUGCAGCAGAACUCGAUGCGCAAAAUCUUGUCGUGGAGGAAGAGGAAGUUGAGCUUCAAAUCGCCCAAAGUUAAAGGAGAGCCUCUUCUGAAGAAACAUUAUGGUGAAGAUGGUGGAGAUGAUAUCGACUUUGACCGUAGGCAGCUCAGCACAAACGAGCUUUUCUCUUGGGUAUAUUCUCAGGACUUGAACUUCAUUUUGCUCUACAUUACUUGGUAUGCUUUGGUUUUUCUCAUCCUUCUUCUGUGCAGUGGUAUAACCUAGAGUUAUCGGCUGCUGCAUUUGGAGACGACAACUUUGCCGUGGGUACUUGGGAGCAGAAAGAGGUAACCUGCCGUGACGGCUGCUUGAAGAUCAAAACUGAAGUCUUCUUUGCCUCUAUUGAUCAAAGAAGCGAACGUGCUUCGGGGGAAAGUGCCUGCACAGCUCUAGUUGCUGUUAUUGCUGAUUGGUUGCUAUCCAACCAAGACGAAAUGCCCAUCAGGUCUGAUUUGGACAACUUGAUCAGAGAUGGAUCAGCAGAAUGGAGAAAUCUUUGUGAAAAUAAAGACUACAUGGAGCAGUUCUCUGAUAAACACUUCGAUCUUGACACAGUAAUUGAUGCAAAAAUCCGACCUCUAUCCGUUGUUGCGGAGAAGUCAUAUGUUGGAUUCUUCCACCCAGAAGGGUUGGAGGAAGAAGGUGUCUUUGAGUUCCUUAAAGGCGCUAUGUCUUUUGACACCAUAUGGGAUGAAAUCAACCUUCAAGCAGCAGAUGCAGGCGAAUCAAUAGUCUACAUAGUGAGUUGGAAUGACCACUUCUUCAUCUUGAAAGUUGAAAAGGAGGCUUACUACAUCAUAGACACCUUGGGCGAGCGGCUUUAUGAGGGAUGCACCCAGGCAUACAUUCUGAAAUUUGACAAGGAGACAGUAAUUCAUAGAUUACCAAACAACACAAAGGAAACAGAGGAAAAAAGCUCCAACAACACAAAGGAAUCAUCAAAGAGCACAGGCUCAUCAGAUAAGAAAACCUCCAUUGACACAAAACAACCAAAGAGUUCAGGGCCAUCAAAGGAGAAAAGCAGCAUUAUUAAGACAAAUCAAUCAAAGAGCACAGAGAUCUCACAGGUGGAACAGUCUACCAAUGUGUCACAAGCAAGCGAACCAGAGAUUUUGGACGAAAACCCAUCCAUGGAUGUCAUGCAACCAAGCGACUCUGAAGAAGCUUCGACAUCAAAACCAACAGAUGGCCUGAAAGAAGCUUCAACUGAGAAGAAAGAUGAGUCAGGAAAUGGUAGUAAUAUAAAGGAAGAGGUUGAAGAAUGCACAGGGAAGGAGUGCUGCCAGGAGUACAUUAAGAGCUUUCUUGCUGCAAUUCCAAUCAGGGAAUUGCUGGACGAUGUGAAGAAGAACGGUUUGAGUUCAUCGACACCCCUUCACCAACGGCUGCAAAUAGAAUUCCACCGUGCCAAAGUGAUUCUAGACGCAGGGGAUCAAAUUUUGGCAAGCAGCGACUGAGGAUUAAUUAUAAAAGAAAGCUGACUCAAAAGCUAUGUUUUGGUUCUUGUUUAACUUUUGAAUUAAGUUUUGAAGAAUCUCCUUGUUUAGACCACUGUAAUAAGGAAUAAAGUAAAUAUUGAAGAGGGCAUAAAUUAAUUGUUUAUAAUGCCCCAUUAAUUCCUUGUUUAAUUAUUGUAAAAGUUAUUAAUGCUUAUUAAUUCCUUCCUCAAUUAUUGCUUCAGAGAAUUUAUUAUAUAAUUAUCUUAUAAUCCUCCUGAUUUGGCACGAAAGUUUUGUUGAAGUGACUUAACUUGAAUGAACCAUAUGGUGUAUAGAAAACUAGGUACACAGGAACAUCACGUUUUGAAAAAAAUCUGAUUUUGUUCACUACAAUGCACUCUACAAAAUAAUUUCUGCUCGACAAUUCCAUUGUCAAUAAAAAAUCUGGUUAAUUUGAUUAAAUAAAUAAAUAUACAUUACACUCCAAAUCUAUAAUACCUACCUAUAUAAUGAUUUAGAUGAGACUUAGUGCAUUAUCAUAUCAUAAAUUAUUCAAAAGUAGAUAGGAUUUAAUCAUUUUUAUCUCAUGUCAAAUUUGAGAAUUGUGAUGAAACAAGGAACUUUAAAUGAUUAACCAAUAAUGAUGAGUGACCACCAAAAAGCAUCCAUUGUCAGCAGAGAAACCCUACGUCAAGAAAUUAAUUUCUCAGGUUCACAUUCAAAUGCCUGGCUCCUUAUUCAACUACUCUACUAAAGAAUGCUAAGUAAAAGCAAUGAGUAUUGUCACUCAGCUACCAGAAAGGAGAACGAUAUUCAUGUUCAGAAUUGUAAGUGAUCACCUUCAUUAACUAUACAAAAGAGAUCUGUCCAUCAGACACCUCAAACGGGAAAGAGCUGACGUACAAGUUUAACUACUCCCAGCAUGGAUGCAUCAUUCUGCAGACAACAUUCAAAUUGGUUAAAGCUUUAUGGUAAAGUGGUUCUCAUUAUACGGGGAGAAGUAAGGUAUUAGCUAUAAUGGUCAUGAGAAAUAAAAGUAAAGAUUUUCCUUUCUUUUUAUUCCCAUUUAAGGGUGUUCAACUCACCAGGUAAACAACAUCAAAAGCAUUACGAUAGCUAUCAAGAGAGUUCUCGAUGUUGUCAUUCCUGCAAAAGGAGCUUAUUCUUCAGUAUGACAAUAAUUAUUCAUCAAAACUAUUGUUCCCUGAAUAUUUGCAUGCAGAACAAGUAAACGAAUGACAACAUAUGAAAGUUAUUAAGUUCACAUACAAAAACCCCACGGAUAUCCGAGUGUCAUAGUUUAAACCGUCUGACAUCCCUAAAUCCCCAAUGUGGUCACCAAGAAGAAGUACAUUUGUCCGUUUUCUUACAGAGGCGCUGUCAUUAAUUGUGCCAUCUACAUCACCCAAUUGGUCAUGCAGAGGAGCAGCCAUAUCAAGAGCAUGCUCAUUUUUAUUUAGACUAUGAAUCGUCUUGCCUGCAAAGAGAAAUAUUUCCACAGAACAAACUCAUUCAGACGAUCAGAUGUAACAAACAUAACAACCGCUAAUAAAAUGACUGUGGCAAGUAAUAGCCAGCUAAAAAAAGGAAAAUACCCUUAAAUGAUACAAGGCAACCAUUAUCAUCAAACACCAUUCUAUUUGAAACGAUCCUAAUAUUUUUAAAAGAUCUGUGAAGUUUCUGCCUCAGGACCUAAUCCAGUAAGAAAAUAGAAAUAUCAACAAGGAAUGCAAGCGAGCUUUACAUAUUGAAUUAUAUCUGUAUAAAUGCAUAAAAGAUCAAGGAACAUUUGACCUUGCCUACCUCCUCUAUAAUGUCAGCAAGGCCUGCUGAAAAUAUUAGAACAGGAACACCCUUUUCCUGAUCAUCAUUGUGUUUGAUAUCAAAAAUUAGCUUUAACACAAAAUCACAAAAAUAGAAAAUAGAACAUUGAUAUUUACCCCCACAAAGGAGAGUAGCAAGUAAAGUUAUCAUUCCAGGGGGAAUUUUUUUUUUUACCUCUAGAAGUUCAAACAGCUCAACCACUCCCUCCCUAAAAGCAAUAGUGGCAGCAGUAACUGAUUGCUUUAUUGCAUCAAACGUAAGUCCUCCUUCAAUCAGAAGUGAAUGGCUUUUGCCCCACCUGCAAUGCAUGAUAUGAAAUUAUAAAUUUUUUGUACACCCACCAACAAGUGGACAUAAAUCCAUCAUGUGUGAUUAAAGAAGCCUCACUAAAUAACUCAGCUUAAACUUAUACUGGUACUACAUACAUAUUUUUUAGCUAAUCUAAGAGAUGAUACAAACGAGGCAUACCAUUCUUCCAUGAGCUUGGUUUUCUCUUCUCUCGAAAUUGUAGGAGAAUAUUCCAAAGGAUGGUAAUAUUUAUAAAGUUCAUCCCUCUUAGUAUCAUAUUCAGGAUUCCCCUGCUUUAGAAGACCAUGACUAGCUACAAAUAUUAAUCAACUUCAUCAGACUUAAAAAUAAAGCUUACUACAAAGUUGACAGAGUUGAAAAUCCUCAAAUCUUACUUUGACCACGGCAGCCAUCAAUCCAGUACCUCGUUAGCGUAGCAUCAAAAUCAGCAAUAACCUAAACAAGACCUCCUACUAUUAUUCCUAAUGGUAAAGAAAAAAAAACACAACUCAUAGAAACAUCACAUUUAUCACAUUUAAAAACAAAACCGCAACACACCUGGAGCUUCUGCGGACCGGAAAAACGCAAAGCAUCGAGUUUCUUCUUCAGCAAAUCGGAAUCGGCAACAACUGUCUCAGUAGGCUGUAAGAAUCCUUUUUCGUCCAUUCCAAUCACGUUUCGGCGUUCGCAAAAGAGCCUACAAAAGAAAAAACGCAUUAGGAGAGAUCAGGAACACGAGAAACGAUAAGGGAAGCGAGAAUGCGGCAUAAUCGGGCAAAAGAAUCCGCGAUGUAUUGAAGGAAUGAAUGAGCAAAAACAACGGAAUGGAGUUGAAGAGAGAAGAAACCUGGAAGUGGAAAAUGGAGAAGAACGGAGAUUGAGAUUGAAGAUGGAGGCGAAACGAAGAGGAGUGGUUGAAAUGAAUUGGACUCGAACAGUCAUUUGGGCGUUCGCCUGAAAUCUAAUGAACACUCAUCCUUCGUUUUUGGUAUGGAGCGUCCGAAAAAUAUUGUUUUUAGGAAAAAUAAAGGAAAAUUAUUUCAUAUUCUUCCAAAUAUUUAAAAAUAGGUUGAAUUGGUAAAAUGAUGAAAUUUUUGGCAUUAUUAGAAUGCGUCGGUAUUCCUCUCUUUUCCACAAAACAUUCCUUACUUCAUUUUUCUUUUCCUACAUAAAAUUUUAAAAAAACUGUGAAAAUACCUUCAAACAUUCCAAUAAUGCCAAAAAUCCUAUCAGUUAUAUAAUCAAAAUCCUUGAAAAAAGGAAUUACUCCGACCCAAUCUUUACCCCAAUUCAAUUCAAUUCUACUUCCAUACUUCAAUUCCAUUCUACUCAUUCUAAUAAUGUCAAAAUUUUCAUUACAAAAUAGUUUUGAAAACAUCCAUUUUCUCCAACUCUUUUAAAAACCAACCCGACUUUCCAAAUCACCCUUGUUUUAGUGAUGAAAUACGUCGGUGUAGUACUAAUAACGAGAAGUUCAGUCAAAAGUCUACCAGAUUGUGUAAAUUAUACUGUCAAAUUCGGUUUUGUUCAAUACUAAAUUCAUGAAAUAAAUAGUGUGACAGUGUCCAUCUUAAUGAAUUAAGUACCAUUUUAAAUUUAAUUUAACUCAUGACGUUACUUUUUAAGCCAAACAUUAGUCCAUACACAUAUAAUGUGUGUAUUUAUAUAUCAUGGAGAGCACAAAAUUGAUCUCAUGUCUAAAAAUGUAGGGAUGAAGAAAAAGCAAAGGGUUGGAGAAUUAAGAAGAAUAAAUCUUGGGAAGUUUUCACUUGAAACCACAGUUCACAGAAAAGAACCAAAGAUCUUUCUGUUUCCCAAUCAAUCCUAUUUAUAUCUGCAACUCCAAUACAUAAUCUUUUGAAUUCUUGGUAAAGCUAGAAAAAUAGCACAUAAUAAAAAAGAAAAAAAAAACAAAAACAUAAAAAUUCCAGAAAGCUUACUUCGUAAUCCUACUGACUGAAUUAGAAAAUAAAAUUCAUCUAUUUAUUGAGAAAAUUUGGAUAUGAGAUAUGACUGCUGCUGCCCGGUGGUGUUGUGCUGUUGUUGGUAGAUCCAUUUCCUUCAUUGGUGUUGUUCUCUGAAAAUUUUCAUAAUGUCUUAAUCAUCAAUCAAUGUGUUAUGGCGGUAGCUCCACUCCUCCCCCAGAGUUUAAUCGAGAUCAUUGUUGAGCACACUGCACUCUCUGUGCACCACCGUGCAUAUCCUCAUCUUCAUCGUAUGCCUCUUGUGCUUGCUUCCUGCGCAUCUCCUCUUCAAUGUUGACAUCGUGGAGAGUGGUCUCUUCACAUUCAUCCAAUUCCAUAUCUGAGAGCUGCACUGAGGUCCUGGGAGGCAGAACGCCCUCCAGCGCCUUGCACUGUUCGGGGUUCAAGGAGUCUGGGAACUCAACACUGAAGUGGAUGUAAAGUUUGCCCUUCAUGAAUGGCCUCUGGUACAUAGGCAUACCCUCAUCGUUUAUGGCCUUGAAUUGGUCUGUGCAAUUAAGAAUGGAAAACAUUGAGCAAAUGCCUCAACAUGCAAUACAAGCAGAUGUACUGAAACACAAACAGUUACAUACCAGGCUUCACUACUUCACCGGGAAGUGAUUUGAUGAGUAGCUGUCGGCCAUCCAAAUGAGUCAGAAUAAAUUGGAAACCACACAGAGACUCGACGAGAGACAAGGUAUGCUCUACAAAGAGGUCAUCGCCCUUUCUCUUAAACUUGGGGUGCUCUUUUUGUUGUAGGACAAAGACAAUGUCCCCAGUAACAGUGUCGGGCUGAACAAACAGGCAAAAUGAAAACCAAUCAAGAUCACAUGUUACAGAGAGACAAUUACCAAGUUUUGGAAGUUACUCAAGAAAAAUUCAGUCUCACCGCUUCAUCUGCUUCACCAGGGAAUGUAAUCUUUUGUGCAUUUUGCAUACCCUUCUCCACA
rnacentral:lncRNA from 1 species